CCUACGGGGGGCUGCAGUAGGGAAUCUUGCGCAAUGGGCGAAAGCCUGACGCAGCAAUGCCGCGUGCGGGACGAAGGCCCUAGGGUCGUAAACCGCUUUCAGUAGGGACGAAAAUGACGGUACCUGCAGAAGAAGCUCCGGCCAACUACGUGCCAGCAGCCGCGGUGAUACGUAGGGAGCAAGCGUUGUCCGGAAUUACUGGGCGUAAAGGGCUCGUAGGUGGUUGAGUAAGUCAGAUGUGAAAUCUCAGGGCCCAACCCUGAGCCUGCAUUUGAUACUGCUCUGACUAGAGUCCGGUAGGGGAGUGCGGAACUCCUGGUGUAGCGGUGAAAUGCGCAGAUAUCAGGAAGAACACCGACAGCGAAGGCAGCACUCUGGGCCGGUACUGACACUGAGGAGCGAAAGCAUGGGUAGCAAACAGGAUUAGAUACCCCUGUAGUC
rnacentral:rRNA from 1 species